AUAUUGGACAAUGGGGGCAACCCUGAUCCAGCCGUGCCGCGUGUGUGAAGAAGGUCGUCGGAUUGUAAAGCACUUUAAGUUGGGAGGAAGGGUUGGAGAUUAAUACUCUGCAAAUUUUACGUUACAAACAGAAUCAGCACCGGACAACUUCGGGCCAGCAGCCGCGGUAAAACGAAGGGUGCAAGCGUUAAUCGGAAUUACUGGGCGUAAAGCGCGCGUAGGUGGUUUGUUAAGUUGGAAGUGAAAGCCCCGGGCUCAACCUGGGAACUGCUUUCAAAACUGGCAAGCUAGAGUACGGUAGAGGGUAGUGGAAUUUCCUGUGUAGCGGUGAAAUGCGUAGAUAUAGGAAGGAACACCAGUGGCGAAGGCGACUACCUGGACUGAUACUGACACUGAGGUGCGAAAGCGUGGGGAGCAAAC
rnacentral:rRNA from 1 species